rnacentral:lncRNA from 1 species
GAACCAUGUUGGCUUAUCUGUCAUCUCUGGACUAAUCAAUGGGGACAGCAGGAUAAGGACAGAUCUCAUAUAUCGCAGCAACAAAGAUGGCCCCCAGGAGUUCCAUGGACCCUUAUUUCUCAUCAUUUAGAAGGAGAAAGCACCUCUUUCCUCAGUUCCUCUCUUCAGGACUCCCAGUACCCCUGCUUCUGGUGACAGCCCAUGGCAGGUGGGGAGGACGUGCAGAUGGAAAGAAUGAGAAGGGCAGGUUUGGGCCCUCAUGGGUGACAGAAAAGUACCAGAGUUCUGGUUCCUCUUUGAACACACAUGUUCUCUGGGUUUCGCCUUGCAGCCCAAGAAGAGAGGAGGCUUGGAAUCACCACACUUCCCACAGCAAGGGCAAUCUUUAAAGGCAGUAAGGUGUGACGCUCCAGACUGGCAGCUUGGCAAGACAGAGCCCAUGGAUACCAG